UAGGGAAUCUUCGGCAAUGGGGGGAACCCUGACCGAGCAACGCCGCGUGAGUGAAGAAGGUUUUCGGAUCGUAAAGCUCUGUUGUAAGUCAAGAACGGGUGUGAGAGUGGAAAGUUCACACUGUGACGGUAGCUUACCAGAAAGGGACGGCUAACUACGUGCCAGCAGCCGCGGUAAUACGUAGGUCCCGAGCGUUGUCCGGAUUUAUUGGGCGUAAAGCGAGCGCAGGCGGUUUGAUAAGUCUGAAGUUAAAGGCUGUGGCUCAACCAUAGUUCGCUUUGGAAACUGUCAAACUUGAGUGCAGAAGGGGAGAGUGGAAUUCCAUGUGUAGCGGUGAAAUGCGUAGAUAUAUGGAGGAACACCGGUGGCGAAAGCGGCUCUCUGGUCUGUAACUGACGCUGAGGCUCGAAAGCGUGGGGAGCGAACAGGAUUAGAUACCCUGGUAGUCCACGCCGUAAACGAUGAGUGCUAGGUGUUGGAUCCUUUCCGGGAUUCAGUGCCGCAGCUAACGCAUUAAGCACUCCGCCUGGGGGAGUACGACCGCAAGGUUGAAAC
rnacentral:rRNA from 1 species